rnacentral:lncRNA from 1 species
AUUUCCUGUUUGUAACCGAAAAAGACACAAGACAGUAAAAAUAGAAGCAGAUAUGGUGCACCUCGUGAAGAACAUGCGUAGAUGCCCCUAAAGCUUCUUCACAAACAGACAGCUGAAAUACGGACUGAUAAAAAUGUCAGACAAUGAAAAUUGUACAGGAGAGCUUGUAGGUAUGUCACUGACAUCAAUAGGACUGGUUAUAUCAGUAUCUUUAAAUAUACUUCUGUAUACAUUGAGAAGAAGAGAGAGACAGAACAGAGAUGUGGAGGAGCCAUUGUACCGAGACUAUUUUCAUGGCGACAGAUUUGAAGAUGAAGCGGUCAAUCAGGAUAAUCCUAUUUAUGGAAACAUCUGUAUGGAAGGAGGAGGUAGGGAAAACGAGUAUCCAGGCGAACCGAGGACAAAUCAAAGUGUAAGACAAGAUGAACAGGAUGACUCAGCCGACGUCUCCUAUGCCUCUCUGGACUUAACUGUGGCUCAGAAGCGAAAAAAGAAGAGAAAGUACCAGCAGAAACAGAGCCAGACCCAUCAGGCCCAGACCCAUUCUGCACCCAUGGCCCAGCAGAGCUGCCUGGAGACGGGCUCAGACUGCGAGGUGGCCCUCCCGUCCCGCUCCAGCAGCCUCAUGGUGUCCCGCAACAGCAUCUACCUCAACAGCCAUCAAGUAGCACUGGAGACAGAGGAGCUGGAGAGAGAACGAAAGAGGGAGAGACAAAGCAAUCGAGCCAGAGAGAUGGAGAUAAGGAAUAUUUACCGUGACUUUGAUCACAGCCUUGGACAAUCAGAUCUGAGGCAUGAGGACGACGUCUAGAGGCCAAAGCAAAUGGCAAAAGUCUGAAAGUGUUCAGAAACUGUCGUACUGUUCGGAUUCCGGAGUUUAGGUUUACUUUUAUGUUGCUAAUUAUUUUAUUUUUCACAUAUUUCUUACAGCGUCAUAGAAAUAUUUAUAAUUAUUGUAACUGUAACUCAAUUUGUACAAAUUUUCAUUAAAUUGCAUUUACUAUUUAUAUGCAGUAUUCAUUCAGCAGCCUUCUUUCCAUUUAACUAAUUUGUUGUUGUCACUAAAAAAUCUAAAAGUUCAUGGUACAUGCUGGUUAUUUUGUCUAGUCUGUAAACAAGUUGUCAAAUGUGACAUAUCUAAAAUAAACACGUAUAUUAUAUUAUUUUAUUAAAUUAU